UUGAAUUGAUUUAGAAUUUUUUUAUAAAUUGUUUUUUAUUUUUGUAUUUAUAAAAUCGAUUUUGGAUUUUACAAAACGUUUUUUGUAUAUAAAUUCGAUUUUUUGAUUUAUAAAAGAUGAUUUCAUAUUUAUAAAAAUAUUUAUAUUUAUUAAAACUAAUUUUAUAUUUAUAAAACAUUUUUUUGAUUUAUAAACACUAUUUUAUUAUUUUUUGUAUUUA
rnacentral:lncRNA from 1 species